GCGCCCGUAGCUCAGUUGGAUAGAGCGUUGGCCUCCGGAGCCAAAGGUCAGAGGUUCGAGUCCUCUCGGGCGCGCCA
rnacentral:tRNA from 2 species